GUAUGCUAAAUUUAUUUCACCUGCCAAAAAUUUUUAGACUGACAGGCCAUAUGUUUUCUCUAGUUCGAGCCCUGCAUAUUAUGUACAUAUUAAGGCCUCGUUUUACACUUGCAAUUUUUGCUGCAAUUUCCAGAACAAUUUUCUUCUUUAAUUAAUUUUGAUGCAUGUGACAGAAUAGAUAUGAGUUAUGAAUGCUCUAAGUAUAUGUACCCUCGUGUGAACAUUUGUAACUCAUCCACUCAUUUACAUCAAUCAAAAGAAAAUUGCAGCAGCAAAUAUUUCAAGUGUAAACAAGUCUUUACUCAACUUUACUUUGACAACCGAGGUAAACAGUGUCGAUUAUAACAAUUUCAAUUGACUCUGACAAAUGUCCGCUCAAGUGCGCAGUUGCUUGGACAUUGUCUAAUAUAAUGGUUGCCAGCUUUUCAAUAUACACAUUGAUUGGUUCAGAGCUGAUCACUUCCCGCAUGACCAACCAUACGUAAAUUUUGGUAAGCAGUCCCAAUGGUGCAUGCAACCGAAAAGUUUGUGGAUGUGGUGCCUAGUUUUCUGCAUGUCUGGUACGUAAACUUGGCACCAUAAACUUUUCUUGCCUGUCACAGCAAAGCCAAGAUGUUUUGUGUUCUUUCUCUUGAAUUCUGUGUGAACAGUACUUAACGUAAAUGAAAACUGCAUAUUUUAUAAAGAACGAAAAUUGACCAUUUGCGUAAUAGACAAAAUUUUG